rnacentral:rRNA from 1 species
UACGUAGGGGGCUAGCGUUGUCCGGAUUUACUGGGCGUAAAGGGCGCGUAGGCGGCCAGCACAAGUCAGUUGUGAAAUCUCCGAGCUUAACUCGGAACGGUCAACUGAUACUGUGCGGCUAGAGUGCGGAAGGGGCAACUGGAAUUCUUGGUGUAGCGGUGAAAUGCGUAGAUAUCAAGAGGAACACCUGCGGCGAAGGCGGGUUGCUGGGCCGACACUGACGCUGAGGCGCGAAAGCGUGGGGAGCGAACAGG